rnacentral:lncRNA from 1 species
GAAAUUAGGUUUUCUUAGAAUACAUUUUCACAAAUGUUAUUCUAGCAACAAAAUCCAUCUACAGAGUGGCAUGUGUGCUCAUUGCAUGUUUUAUCUGUGGCAUAAUUUUAGAUUGCAAGCCCCCACCUAUGUUGGUUAAUUCUGCUUCACAUGGAAGAGACAGCCAUUGGGCCAGCCCUGAACAAAGAUCCCUGUCACCAAGAUCCACUGCUCCUGCUGUGGUCAGGCAAAGAGAAGGUUAUGUCUCCUGAGUUCUAGUUCUCCGUCCUGAAGUCCAUGUAAUGUGAGUUACAAGCCGUCUGCAGAGGUGAGCAUUCGACUCUGGCCAGCUCAAGUUAUUCGGCAAGGUGUGAUUGUCCAGUCUUGAGGCUGUUUGCUGGGAGAAGCACGACAUAGGCUAUUGCCAGUGCCAAGGAGAACAAUCCUAAUAAGACUGACAGCCCUGCCCAAAUGACAUGGCAUUGAAAAUGACACCUGACUGAAUGAAGCUGACACUGAGGUAGGCACUGAGCUUCUUCAGAGAGAAGGGAGGGACCAGCCACAGAGGAGGCAUGAUCCAAACUUUUGGGAUCCUCAGAAAUGUGUGAGUGACUCCUUCUUGCCCCAAAUCUCAAAACCAUUUUGAUAAAAUAAAAUAUACCAGAUUCUUUCCAUGACAUUGAAC